UACGUAGGGUGCGAGCGUUAAUCGGAAUUACUGGGCGUAAAGCGUGCGCAGGCGGUUUUGUAAGCCAGAUGUGAAAGCCCCGGGCUUAACCUGGGAAUGGCAUUUGGGACUGCAAGGCUUGAGUGCGGCAGAGGAGACUGGAAUUCCUGGUGUAGCAGUGAAAUGCGUAGAUAUCAGGAGGAAUACCGAUGCGAAGGCAGGUCUCUGGGCUGACACUGACGCUCAUGCACGAAAGCGUGGGGAGCAAACAGG
rnacentral:rRNA from 1 species